UGGGGCGUGGCUUCCGGAGCUAACGCGUUAAGUCGACCGCCUGGGGAGAACGGCCGCAAGGUUAAAACUCAAAUAAAUUGACGGGGGCCCGCACAAGCGGUGGNGCAAGUGAUUUAAUUCGAUGCAACGCGAAGAACCUUACCUGGUCUUGACAUCCACGGAAGUUUUCAGAGAUGAGAAUGUGCCUUCGGGAACCGUGAGACAAAAAGAAACAUGGCUGUCGUCAGCUCGUGUUGUGAAAUGUUGGGUUAAGUCCCGCAACGAGCGCAACCCUUAUCCUUUGUUGCCAGCGGUCCGGCCGGGAACUCAAAGGAGACUGCCAGUGAUAAACUGGAGGAAGGUGGGGAUGACGUCAAGUCAUCAUGGCCCUUACGACCAGGGCUACACACGUGCUACAAUAGCAACAUACAAAGAGAAGCGACCUCGCGAGAGCAAGCGGACCUCAUGGAGUGCGUCGUAGUCCGGAUUGGAGUCUGCAACUCGACUCCAUGAAGUCGGAAUCGCUAGUAAUCGUGGUUCAGAAUACCACGGUGAAUACGUUCCCGGGCCUUGUACACACCGCCCCCUCACCAUGGGAGUGGGUUGCAAAAGAAGUAGGUAGCUUAACCUUCGGGAGGGCGCUACC
rnacentral:rRNA from 1 species